GACGAACGCCGGCGGCGUGCCUAAUACAUGCAAGUCGAGCGGACCACUUCGGUGGUCAGCGGCGGACGGGUGAGUAACACGUGGGCAACCUGCCUGUAAGACUGGGAUAACACCGGGAAACCGGUGCUAAUACCGGAUAAUCCUUUCCUUCACAUGAGGGAAAGCUGAAAGACGGUUUCGGCUGUCACUUACAGAUGGCCCCGCGGCGCAUUAGCUAGUUGGUGAGGUAACGGCUCACCAAGGCAACGAUGCGUAGCCGACCUGGGAGGGUGGUCGGCCACACUGGGACUGAGACACGGCCCGGACUCCGACGGGAGGCAGCAGUAGGGAAUCUUCCGCAAUGGACGAAAGUCUGACGGAGCAACGCCGCGUGAGCGAUGAAGGCCUUCGGGUCGUAAAGCUCUGUUGUCAGGGAAGAACAAGUACCGGAGUAACUGCCGGUACCUUGACGGUACCUGACCAGAAAGCCACGGCUAACUACGUGCCAGCAGCCGCAGUAAGAC
rnacentral:rRNA from 1 species